rnacentral:rRNA from 1 species
AGCGAACGCUGGCGGCAGGCCUAAUACAUGCAAGUCGAACGGCUCUUCGGAGCAGUGGCGGACGGGUGAGUAACGCGUGGGAAUGUGCCCUUAGGUACGGAACAACACAGGGAAACUUGUGCUAAUACCGUAUGUGCCCUUCGGGGGAAAGAUUUAUCGCCUUUGGAGCAGCCCGCGUUGGAUUAGCUAGUUGGUGAGGUAAAGGCUCACCAAGGCGACGAUCUAUAGCUGGUCUGAGAGGAUGACCAGCCACACUGGGACUGAGACACGGCCCAGACUCCUACGGGAGGCAGCAGUAGGGAAUCUUGCGCAAUGGGCGAAAGCCUGACGCAGCCAUGCCGCGUGUAUGAUGAAGGUCUUAGGAUUGUAAAAUACUUUCACCGGGGAAGAUAAUGACGGUACCCGGAGAAGAAGCCCCGGCUAACUUCGUGCCAGCAGCCGCGGUAACAC